UUGCGCCUGCGGCGGACCCGGCGCGGGACCCCAUUUCCGGCUUCGCAGGCAGCCGGUCCCGCGUACGGUCUGGUGCAAUCCUGGAAUUUCCAGGAUUUAAUGAUUUCUC
rnacentral:sRNA from 12 species